rnacentral:tRNA from 2 species
GCGGGAAUAGCUCAGUGGUAGAGCACAACCUUGCCAAGGUUGGGGUCGCCGGUUCGAAUCCGGUUUCCCGCU